UACGUAGGGUGCGAGCGUUGUCCGGAAUUACUGGGCGUAAAGGGCGCGUAGGUGGUGGCUUAAGCGUGCGGUGAAAGCUCGGGGCUCAACUCCGAGUCGGCCGUGCGAACUGGGCUCACUGGAGCAUAGUAGAGGCAGGUGGAAUUCCGGGUGUAGCGGUGGAAUGCGUAGAGAUCCGGAAGAACACCGGUGGCGAAGGCGGCCUGCUGGGCUAUGGCUGACACUGAGGUGCGACAGCGUGGGGAGCAAACAGG
rnacentral:rRNA from 1 species